UUGACCUCGGAUCAGGUAGGGAUACCCGCUCAACUUAAGCAUAUCAAUGAGCGGAGGAAAAGAAACCAACAGGGAUUGCCCCACUAACGGCGAGUGAAGCGGCAAGAGCUCAAAUUUGAAAGCUGACUCCUUCGGGGUCCGCAUUGUAAUUUGCAGAGGAUGCUUCGGGAGCGGUCCCCAUCUAAGUGCCCUGGAACGGGACGUCAUAGAGGGUGAGAAUCCCGUAUGGGAUGGGGUGUCCGCGCCCGUGUGAAGCUCCUUCGACGAGUCGAGUUGUUUGGGAAUGCAGCUCUAAAUGGGUGGUAAAUUUCAUCUAAAGCUAAAUAUUGGCCGGAGACCGAUAGCGCACAAGUAGAGUGAUCGAAAGAUGAAAAGCACUUUGAAAAGAGAGUUAAAAAGCACGUGAAAUUGUUGAAAGGGAAGCGCUUGCGACCAGACUCGCUCGCGGGGUUCAGCCGGCAUUCGUGCCGGUGUAUUUCCCCGCGGGCGGGCCAGCGUCGGUUUGGGCGGUCGGUCAAAGGCCCUCGGAAGGUAACGCCCCCAGGGGCGUCUUAUAGCCGAGGGUGCAAUGCGACCUGCCUAGACCGAGGAACGCGCUUCGGCUCGGACGCUGGCAUAAUGGUCGUAAGCGACC
rnacentral:rRNA from 1 species